rnacentral:snRNA from 1 species
GUGCUCGCUUCAGCAGCACAUGUACUAAAACUGGAACGAUACAGAGAAGAUCAGUAUGACCCCAGCGCAAGGAUGACACGCAAAUUCAUGAAGCAUUUCGUAUUUUU